UUGUUCCUACGGGGGGCAGCAGUGAGGAAUAUUGGUCAAUGGCCGGAAGGCUGAACCAGCCAAGUCGCGUGAGGGAAUAAGGCCCUAUGGGUCGUAAACCUCUUUUGUCAGGGAGCAAAGGCGUCCACGUGUGGACGAGAGGAGAGUACCUGAAGAAAAAGCAUCGGCUAACUCCGUGCCAGCAGCCGCGGUAAUACGUAGGUGGCAAGCGUUAUCCGGAUUUAUUGGGCGUAAAGGGAACGCAGGCGGUCUUUUAAGUCUGAUGUGAAAGCCUUCGGCUUAACCGGAGUAGUUCCUU
rnacentral:rRNA from 1 species